rnacentral:siRNA from 1 species
AAAGACGGCCGCAAAAUUAGGUUU